CUUAAUCUAAGGCAAAAUCACACAUGUGCCGACACAGAUUUCGGGGUGCUAAAUACUAGUGAAAACUAGCUUAGUCGAGGUCUGGGGUACGUGGAGGAUUAAC
rnacentral:sRNA from 1 species